CUGAGACACGGCCCAGACUCCUACGGGAGGCAGCAGUAGGGAAUCUUCCGCAAUGGACGAAAGUCUGACGGAGCAACGCCGCGUGAGCGAUGAAGGCUUUCGGGUCGUAAAGCUCUGUUGUUAGGGAAGAACAAGUAUCGGAGUAACUGCCGGUACCUUGACGGUACCUAACCAGAAAGCCACGGCUAACUACGUGCCAGCAGCCGCGGUAAUACGUAGGUGGCAAGCGUUGUCCGGAAUUAUUGGGCGUAAAGCGCGCGCAGGCGGUCCUUUAAGUCUGAUGUGAAAGCCCACGGCUCAACCGUGGAGGGUCAUUGGAAACUGGGGGACUUGAGUGCAGAAGAGGAAAGCGGAAUUCCACGUGUAGCGGUGAAAUGCGUAGAGAUGUGGAGGAACACCAGUGGCGAAGGCGGCUUUCUGGUCUGUAACUGACGCUGAGGCGCGAAAGCGUGGGGAGCAAACAGGAUUAGAUACCCUGGUAGUCCACGCCGUAAACGAUGAGUGCUAAGUGUUAGAGGGUUUCCGCCCUUUAGUGCUGCAGCUAACGCAUUAAGCACUCCGCCUGGGGAGUACGGCCGCAAGGCUGAAACUCAAAUGAAUUGACGGA
rnacentral:rRNA from 2 species